rnacentral:tRNA from 4 species
GCCCCUCUAGUUCAGCGGUCAGAAUACCGGACUUUUAAUCCGUUUGUGGUCGUGGGUUCGAAUCCCACGGGGGGCACGA